rnacentral:rRNA from 1 species
CGCCUGGGGAGUGCGGCCGCAAGGCUAAACUCAAGGAUUGACGGGGGCCCGCACAAGCGGCGGAGCAUGCGGAUUAUUCGAUGCAACGCGAAGAACCUUACCAAGGCUUGACAUAACCGGAUCGUUCCAGAGAUGGUUCUUCCCUUUUGGGCUGGUGUACAGGUGGUGCAUGGUUGUCGUCAGCUCGUGUCGUGAGAUGUUGGGUUAAGUCCCGCACGAGCGCACCCUCGUUCUAUGUUGCCAGCACGUGAUGUGGGGACUCAUAGGAGACUGCCGGGGUCACUCGGAGGAAGUGGGAUGACGUCAAAUCAUCAUGCCCCUAUGUCUUGGGCUUCACGCAUGCUACAAUGGCCGGUACAAUGGGUUGCGAUACUGUGAGGUGAGCUAAUCCCAAAAGCCGGUCUCAUUCGGAUGGGGUCGCGCUCGACCCAUGAUCGGAUCCUAUA